GAGAGUUAAACAGUACGUGAAAUUGUUGAAAGGGAAACGAUUGAAGUCAGUCAUACCAACGGGAAAUCAACCUUUUGAGUUUGGUCUCGUGGGUUUUGAAGAGUUUAAAAGCCUUCGGAUUUUCGAGAUUGGGUUCUUCUGGUGUACUUUCUCGUACGGUUAGUCAACAUCGGUUUUGAAUGUCAUAAAAUGACUGGAGGAAUGUGGCUUCGAUCUCGUAUUGAAGUGUUAUAGCCUUUGGUAGAUGUGAUGUUCGAGACCGAGGAUUGCAACGGAUACCCUUCUGGGUUAUUCGUCUGAUCUCUGAAACGUUGCCUUGAUGUCGAAAGCUUGCUUAUGAUGUUAGGGUAUUACGGUCAAAAGGUUAGAACGGAUUAAAUUCGUUAAGGAUGUUGACGUAAUGACUUUAAACGA
rnacentral:rRNA from 1 species